rnacentral:rRNA from 1 species
GUUAUAUGGUCAAGCGAAUAAGCGCACACGGUGGAUGCCUAGGCGGUCAGAGGCGAUGAAGGACGUGGUAGCCUGCGAAAAGUGUCGGGGAGCUGGCAACAAGCUUUGAUCCGGCAAUAUCCGAAUGGGGAAACCCACUGCUUCGGCAGUAUCUUGCAGUAAAUUCAUAGCUGCUUGAAGCGAACCCGGUGAACUGAAAUAUCUAAGUAACCGGAGGAAAAGAAAUCAACCGAGAUUCCCUGAGUAGUGACGAGCGAACGGGGAACAGCCCUUAAGCUGGAAUGGCUUUAGAAAAACAAUCUGGAAAGAUUGGCCAUAGAAGGUGAUAGCCCUGUAUUUAAAAGGGCCACUCCAGUGAAGACGAGUAGGGCGGGGCACGUGAAACCCUGUCUGAAUAUGGGGGGACCAUCCUCCAAGGCUAAAUACUCCUGACCGACCGAUAGUGAACCAGUACCGUGAGGGAAAGGCGAAAAGAACCCCGGAGAGGGGAGUGAAAUAGAUCCUGAAACCGUGUGCGUACAAGCAGUAGGAGCUCGCAAGAGUGACUGCGUACCUUUUGUAUAAUGGGUCAGCGACUUACUGUUCGUGGCAAGCUUAACCGUAUAGGGGAGGCGAAGGGAAACCGAGUCUGAUAAGGGCGCAUAGUCGCGGGCAGUAGACCCGAAACCGGGUGAUCUAGUCAUGGCCAGGGUGAAGGUGCCGUAACAGGUACUGGAGGCCCGAACCCACGUCUGUUGCAAAAGACGGGGAUGAGCUGUGAUUAGGAGUGAAAAGCUAAUCGAACCCGGAGAUAGCUGGUUCUCCUCGAAAGCUAUUUAGGUAGCGCCUCGGACGAAUACUACUGGGGGUAGAGCACUGUUAUGGCUAGGGGGUCAUCGCGACUUACCAAACCAUUGCAAACUCCGAAUACCAGUACGUACUAUCCGGGAGACACACGGCGGGUGCUAACGUCCGUCGUGAAAAGGGAAACAACCCAGACCCACAGCUAAGGUCCCAAAUUCACUGCUAAGUGGAAAACGAUGUGGAAAGGCAUAGACAGCCAGGAGGUUGGCUUAGAAGCAGCCACCCUUUAAAGAAAGCGUAAUAGCUCACUGGUCGAGUCGGUCUGCGCGGAAGAUUUAACGGGGCUAAGCAGUGAACCGAAGCUUGGGGUGCGUAAAACUUCGGUUUUAUGCGCGGUAGAGGAGCGUUCCGUAAGCCUGCGAAGGUGGAUUGAGAAGUCUGCUGGAGGUAUCGGAAGUGCGAAUGCUGACAUGAGUAACGAUAAUGCGGGUGAAAAGCCCGCACGCCGAAAGCCCAAGGUUUCCUUGCGCAACGUUAAUCGACGCAGGGUUAGUCGGUCCCUAAGGCGAGGGCGAAAGCCGUAGUCGAUGGGAAGCAGGUUAAUAUUCCUGCACCUCGCGUGAGUGCGAUGGAGGGACGGAGAAGGUUAGGUGUACCGGGCGUUGGUUGUCCCGGGGAAAGGCGGUAGGUUUGGAUCUUUGGCAAAUCCGGGAUCCUUUAAGACCGAGCACCGAGACGAGCCUUUAUGGCGAAGUCACUGAUACCACGCUUCCAGGAAAAGCUCCUAAGCUUCAGCUCACGAAGACCGUACCGUAAACCGACACAGGUGGGUAGGAUGAGAAUUCUCAGGCGCUUGAGAGAACUCGGGUGAAGGAACUAGGCAACAUGGCACCGUAACUUCGGGAGAAGGUGCACCCUUUUUGGUGGCUCAUGCGAGCUAUAGCUGAAGAGGGUCGCAGAAACCAGGCCGCUGCGACUGUUUAUCAAAAACACAGCACUCUGCAAACACGAAAGUGGACGUAUAGGGUGUGACGCCUGCCCGGUGCUGGAAGGUUAAUUGAUGGGGUCAGCCGCAAGGCGAAGCUCUUGAUCGAAGCCCCAGUAAACGGCGGCCGUAACUAUAACGGUCCUAAGGUAGCGAAAUUCCUUGUCGGGUAAGUUCCGACCUGCACGAAUGGCGUAACGACAGCGGCGCUGUCUCCACCCGAGACUCAGUGAAAUUGAAAUCGCUGUGAAGAUGCAGCGUUCCCGUGGCAAGACGGAAAGACCCCGUGAACCUUUACUAUAGCUUUACACUGAACGUUGAGUUCGUCUGUGUAGGAUAGGUGGGAGGCUAUGAAACUGUGGCGCUAGCUGCAGUGGAGCCAACCUUGAAAUACCACCCUGUCGUGCUUGACGUUCUAACCUAGAUCCGUUAUCCGGAUCAGGGACCGUGUAUGGUGGGUAGUUUGACUGGGGCGGUCUCCUCCUAAAGAGUAACGGAGGAGCACGAAGGUACGCUCAGCGCGGUCGGACAUCGCGCACUGUGUGCAAAGGCAUAAGCGUGCUUGACUGCAAGAUCGACGGAUCAAGCAGGUACGAAAGUAGGUCUUAGUGAUCCGGUGGUUCUGUAUGGAAGGGCCAUCGCUCAACGGAUAAAAGGUACUCCGGGGAUAACAGGCUGAUACCGCCCAAGAGUUCAUAUCGACGGCGGUGUUUGGCACCUCGAUGUCGGCUCAUCACAUCCUGGGGCUGUAGUCGGUCCCAAGGGUAUGGCUGUUCGCCAUUUAAAGUGGUACGCGAGCUGGGUUCAGAACGUCGUGAGACAGUUCGGUCCCUAUCUGCCAUGGGCGUUGGAAGUUUGAGAGGGGCUGCUCCUAGUACGAGAGGACCGGAGUGGACGAACCUCUGGUGUUCCGGUUGUCACGCCAGUGGCAUUGCCGGGUAGCUAUGUUCGGAAGCGAUAACCGCUGAAAGCAUCUAAGCGGGAAGCGCGCCUCAAGAUGAGACUUCCCGGGGCACAAGCCCCCUAAAGGAACCAUAUAGACUAUGUGGUUGAUAGGUCAGGUGUGUAAGUACAGCAAUGUAUUGAGCUAACUGAUACUAAUGAUCCGUGCGGCUUGACCAUAUAACCUCA